AUUGAACGCUGGCGGCAUGCUUUACACAUGCAAGUCGAACGGCAGCGCGGGCUUCGGCCUGGCGGCGAGUGGCGAACGGGUGAGUAAUGAACCGGAACGUGACCAGCAGAGGGGGAUAGGAUGGCGAAAGCCGGAUUAAUACCGUAUACGACCUGAGGGUGAAAGGGGGGGUCCGAAAGGCAUAGCGCGAUUUGAGCGGACGAUGUCGGAUUAGCUAGUUGGUGGGGUAAAGGCUUACCAAGGCGACGAUCCGUAGCUGGUCUGAGAGGACGACCAGCCACACUGGAACUGAGACACGGCCCAGACUCCUACGGGAGGCAGCAGUGGGGAAUUUUGGACAAUGGGCGCAACCCUGAUCCAGCCAUGCCGCGUGCGGGAAGAAGGCCUUCGGGUUGUAAAACGCUUUUGUUCGGGAAGAACUCCUCUGGGCUAAUACCCCGGGGGGAUGACGGUACCGGAAGAAUAAGCACCGGCUAACUACGUG
rnacentral:rRNA from 1 species